CAGGACUGUUGUUUCCUCUGCUGAAGAGCUGGCUUUGGCUGAAUUCUCUCACCAGCUUUUGGCAACGUCAGAUCUGAGCAUGAUGGCCCAUCCCAGUAGAAGCAAAGCCAUAGCUUGUUGUGGGGACAGAGGGCUAUGUUGAGAUGCAACUGGGAACCACAAACAAGUUCAACAAGAAUCAGGAGAGAAGACCCCUCUGCAUCAGAGCAAUUAGAAGAAGCGGCUGGCCCCUUGCAGCACCUAAUGGGAUUCUAGUGUACUCCCACCCAUGCUUUUGACAAGGGAAUUUUAUCUUUCUCCUAAAAAGAGAUGUUUACCAAGGGAUUCACACAUAUUGGCCAUUACAUGCCCUAUUGUGCUUGGACUUUGCUCUCCAACCUUGUCCCAGGGGAAGCCUGGACCCUAUAGGGCAACACCACGCAGCUCCUGGGAAAGUGAGAAAUCCAACUGUCUCCAUGGACCACAUAACUCAAACAGCUAUUUUACAGGAUCACUGGACUAAGCAGUGUGGGAGAUAAAUCCAAAUAGCAGCCUAGUGGCUCAGCCCCAGUGUGAUGGCCUCAAGGCAAAGCAUAAAGCUUUUUCCUCUAGCCAAAUAUAGUCAUGUGUCACUUAAUAACUGGAGUAUGCUCUAAGAAAUGCAUAAUUAAGUGAUUUCAUCAUUGUGUGGACAUCAUAGAGUGUACUACACAAAGAUGAUACAGCCUCUUACAUGCCUAAGCUACACAGUAUUACGUAUUGCUUUUAGGCUACAAACCUGUACAGUAUGUGACUGUACUGAAUGCUAUAGCCAAUUGUAACACAAUGGUAAGUAUUGGUAUAUCCAAAUAGAUCUA
rnacentral:lncRNA from 10 species